CUUGAAAAGGUUUUAGGUAUGUGUGUGUCUCCAUUUAUCUUUUUGUUUUUUUUCACAAUUAUCUUUUUCUUCCUAAAGUAAUUGUGAACUCAACCCAUUAUGCAAAAGUGAUACAUCUUCCUUUUCUGCUUUUUUUAAAUAACUCAGCAGCUAUACUUCCUCAUUAAGUUACUUUAGUCCACCACCGAUGAAGAUUGCGGUGGAGUAUGCGCUGAAGUGACUACAAACAAGUUGAGGUUACAAGAAGUGAAAAAGCUCAAGUUUGUUAGGACAUUUCGGGCUUUCAUUGAGUGUAUCUUCCAACUAUUGUUUCAAGACCUCAAUUGUAGAAUGGAUAACAUUCGAACUCAAGGAUGAGCUACAUCUUUUGGGCUUCCAUGAAUUCUUCUUCCUGAUCCAUUGUUUCGAACUUGGAUAUUUUCAGUUAUUUUUUGGUUGAACCUUUUGACAUUUGUAGUAUUUUGGUACAAUGACUUUCAGUUCUAAUGGAUUGUUUGUUA